GGCUCAGAACGAACGCUGGCGGCGUGGAUAAGACAUGCAAGUCGAACGAUUAUCACGGGGUAGCAAUAUUUCGUGGUGAGAGUGGCGCAAGGGUGCGUAACACGUGGGUAAUUUGCCGUGAAGCUCGGAAUAACUCGCUGAAAGGCGAGCUAAUACCGAAUGUGAUUUCUGGAGGGCAUCCUCCGGAACUUAAAGCUGGGGACCGUAAGGCCUGGCACUUCCCGAUAAGCCCGCGGCCUAUCAGCUAGUUGGUGAGGUAACGGCCCACCAAGGCUAAGACGGGUAGCUGGUCUGAGAGGACGACCAGCCACACUGGAACUGAGACACGGUCCAGACACCUACGGGUGGCAGCAGUCGAGAAUUUUUCACAAUGGGCGAAAGCCUGAUGGAGCGACGCCGCGUGGGGGAUGAAUGGCUUCGGCCCGUAAACCCCUGUCAUUUGCGAACAAACCUCGUUAUUUAAAAGACGACGAGUUGAUAGUAGCGAAAGAGGAAGGGACGGCUAACUCUGUGCCAGCAGCCGCGGUAAUACAGAGGUCCCAAGCGUUGUUCGGAUUCACUGGGCGUAAAGGGUGCGUAGGUGGUCGGGUGAGUCUGAUGUGAAAUCUCCGAGCUUAACUCGGAAACGGCAUCGGAUACUGCUCAGCUUGAGGGUUGGAGGGGGGACUGGAAUUCUCGGUGUAGCAGUGAAAUGCGUAGAUAUCGAGAGGAACACCAGUGGCGAAGGCGAGUCCCUGGACAACUCCUGACACUGAGGCACGAAAGCCAGGGGAGCAAACGGGAUUAGAUACCCCGGUAGUCCUGGCCCUAAACGGUGCACGUUUGCUGUAAGAGGAAUCGACCCCUUUUGUGGCGAAGCUAACGCGUUAAACGUGCCGCCUGGGA
rnacentral:rRNA from 1 species